GUGACCUCAAAUCAGGUAGGACUACCCGCUGAACUUAAGCAUAUCAAUAAGCGGAGGAAAGAACUAACAGGAUCCCCUAGUACUGCGAGUGA
rnacentral:rRNA from 1 species